GCUCCUGUAGGCCAACUGGUAGAGUCAGUGCGCUUAGAACGCAUAAAGUCUCGGUUCGAAUCCGAGUGGGAGUACCA
rnacentral:tRNA from 2 species